GUUUCAGUGGUUCAUGUAGGGAGAGCGAAUCAACAUAGCUGUCACGAAAGUCUGUCAAAAGCCACAGCAUUGCCAGUAAGGAUUCAUUUCAAAGGUAUACCUGUAAGUACCGGACCACUGACAAACGCAAACAGCUUGUUGAGCUUCCGAAGGAGCAAUUGUCCUUAUUUGUCGUAGAUAAACAGCUGUUUCUUGCCAGGGAAUAUUUCUCAACUAGAUCACAGGAAUCUAUUUCAUGUUUUUUCGUUUUUUGGGGUUCUCCUCGACAACAGAUGGCGAUGUCUUCUGAUAACAUUACAGUGGAUCCGUUUUCAGUCUCUCCUCGUCCCAACCAGAGCUCCUGUGAUGUUUUCACCGGCCAGGCUGUUGCCACGGUUCUCUUCCCAUCGUCUACUUGCUGGUGUUCCUCAUCAGUGCCUGUGGCAACAGCCUGGUGCUCUACGUGAUCUGUCGCAGUCAGCAGAAGUGUAACUCACUUCCAUCUACCUGCUGAACCUGGCUCUGUCCGACACCCUCUUCACCCUGUUGCUGCCGGCCAGGAUCCACCUACUACAUCCGUGGCUUCGACUGGCCUUUCGGGAUGUCAUGUGCACGUUGACCGCAGUCAUCUUCUUUGCGAACACCUAUGCAGGCAUCGGCUUCAUGACCUGCAUCUCCGUGGACCGCUUACCUGGCCAUGGUGCAUCCGCACCGGCUGCGGGAGUCUGCGCAGCGUGAAGGUGGUCCGACGGGUGUGCGGCCUGGUGUGGGCCAUCGUGCUCCUGGAGGUGGCCUCCGUGCUGUUCAAGAGCAUGCUCACGACCACCGUGGGCAAACGCACAUGCAUGGAGUUCUCCAAACUUCGGGGCCAGGUCCAUGCUGUAUCUUCUCCUGCUGGCCUGCGUCUUCUCUUUCUUCCUCCCGCUGGCACUGAUCCUCGGAUGCUACGCCCAGAUCAACAGGAAGCUACGCUCCGCCGCACGGCAGAGCCCGCUGGGCAGCGGGGGCCCGGGGGGGGAGUGGACAUUGCAGGGCCAACACCAUCAUCCUCCUCAUCUUGCUCACCUUCACGGUGA
rnacentral:lncRNA from 1 species